ACAAUUUACGUGAUGAUAACCUUACUCAGCUCACUCAGAUUAUCCGUGAUCGAAAGCAUUUCCUAUCCAACAUUCAUCAAAAUAUCUGAUCAAAAUUGU
rnacentral:snoRNA from 1 species